AGUCUAAGAGCUCUGUGGGCUCACGGACCUUCCGCUCUAGUGCGCGAGCUUGCGACCACCCCUUCCCUCAAGGCGCUGUUAUUUCCACGUCUCGAGAUCCUUCCUACCUUCUCGGACCUGCGCUUGGAGCCCGUGACAUCCGUGUCCGAGGUUGAGAGGAAAAGAAAACGACGGAGAGCGGAGGUACUCUGCCAGGUACAGUUUUUCCUUCCCAAGACUGCAUAUCUCAGGACUCUGUACCUCCCAGAAAUAGAAAGAAAAAAUGACCAUGUUCAAGGUAAGUAGGUCUUGCCUUUCUUGCUCAAGAAAGUGAAAAGAC
rnacentral:lncRNA from 1 species